GCAAUUAUACCGCGAAACUGCGAAUGGCUCAUUAAAUCAGUUAUCGUUUAUUUGAUAGUACCUUACUACUUGGAUAACCGUGGUAAUUCUAGAGCUAAUACAUGCUAAAAAUCCCGACUUCGGAAGGGAUGUAUUUAUUAGAUUAAAAACCAAUGCCCUUCGGGGCUCUCUGGUGAUUCAUGAUAACUUCUCGAAUCGCAUGGCCUUGCGCCGGCGAUGGUUCAUUCAAAUUUCUGCCCUAUCAACUUUCGACUGCUGGGUCUUGGCCAGCAAUGGUGACAACGGGUAACGGAGGGUUAGGGCUCGACCCCGGAGAAGGAGCCUGAGAGACGGCUACUACAUCCAAGGAAGGCAGCAGGCGCGCAAAUUACCCAAUCCCGACACGGGGAGGUAGUGACAAUAAAUACUGAUACAGGGCUCUUUUGGGUCUUGUAAUUGGAAUGAGUACAAUUUAAAUCCCUUAACGAGGAACAAUUGGAGGGCAAGUCUGGUGCCAGCAGCCGCGGUAAUUCCAGCUCCAAUAGCGUAUAUUAAAGUUGUUGCAGUUAAAAAGCUCGUAGUUGAACCUUGGGCCUGGCCGGCCGGUCCGCCUCACCGCGUGCACUGGUACGGUCGGGCCUUUCCCUCUGGGGAACCCCAUGCCCUUCACUGGGCGUGUGGGGAAACCAGGACUUUUACUUUGAAAAAAUUAGAGUGUUCAAAGCAGGCCUAUGCUCGAAUACAUUAGCAUGGAAUAAUAGAAUAGGACGUGCGGUUCUAUUUUGUUGGUUUCUAGGACCGCCGUAAUGAUUAAUAGGGACAGUCGGGGGCAUCAGUAUUCAAUUGUCAGAGGUGAAAUUCUUGGAUUUAUUGAAGACUAACUACUGCGAAAGCAUUUGCCAAGGAUGUUUUCAUUAAUCAGGAACGAAAGUUAGGGGAUCGAAGACGAUCAGAUACCGUCGUAGUCUUAACCAUAAACUAUGCCGACUAGGGAUCGGACGAUGUUACUUUUUGACUCGUUCGGCACCUUACACGAAAGUACAAGUUUCUGGGU
rnacentral:rRNA from 1 species